rnacentral:rRNA from 1 species
UACGUAGGGUGCGAGCGUUAAUCGGAAUUACUGGGCGUAAAGCGUGCGCAGGCGGUUCGUUGUGUCGGUGGUGAAAGCCCCGGGCUUAACCUGGGAAUGGCCAUGGAAACUGGCGAACUGGAGUGUGGCAGAGGGGGGUGGAAUUCCGCGUGUAGCAGUGAAAUGCGUAGAGAUGCGGAGGAACACCGAUGGCGAAGGCAGCCCCCUGGGCUAGCACUGACGCUCAGGCCCGAAAGCGUGGGGAGCAAACAGG